GUGGGGAAUAUUGGACAAUGGGGGAAACCCUGAUCCAGCGACGCCGCGUGUGUGAAGAAGGCCUGCGGGUUGUAAAGCACUUUCGGUGGGAACGAAAUAUGCCGGGCCAAUACCCCGGCAGGCUGACGUUACCCAAUGAAGAAGCACCGGCUAACUCUGUGCCAGCAGCCGCGGUAAUACAGAGGGUGCGAGCGUUAAUCGGAAUUACUGGGCGUAAAGCGCACGUAGGCGGCUUCGUAAGUCGGAUGUGAAAUCCCCGGGCUCAACCUGGGAACUGCAUUCGAGACUGCGAUGCUCGAGUAUGGGAGAGGACAGCGGAAUUCCGGGUGUAGCGGUGAAAUGCGUAGAUAUCCGGAGGAACAUCAGUGGCGAAGGCGGCUGUCUGGCCCAAUACUGACGCUCAGGUGCGAAAGCGUGGGGAGCAAACAGGAUUAGAAACCCCAGUAGUCC
rnacentral:rRNA from 1 species